GGCUUGAUGUUUAGGAAACACUGGAUUUUGAACGUCCAUUUAAGAUGUUCAAUUCAUCUUCAG
rnacentral:tRNA from 1 species